UCCCAGAUGGUGUGUCAUCCGUGAAGAGGC
rnacentral:piRNA from 1 species